rnacentral:lncRNA from 1 species
GUAAACAACUACAAAGUAUGCAACUACAAAGUAUGCAACUACAAGGUAAACAACUACAAAGUAUGCAACUACAAGGUAAACAACUACAAGGUAAACAACUACAAGGUAAACAACUACAAAGUAAACAGCUACAAGGCCUUAAUAAAACUUUAUUAAAUCAUACACUAUUGAACAAAUACAAUGACACAAACAGAUUGUUACCAACCGUUUUUAAUAAAUAUACACCACUUCCAUAUUUGAAAGUUAAGAGUAAAACAACAAACAUGAAUAAAAUAGUUCCUUUAUAUGUACAGAAAACAAGUAGGAACAGAGUCUAUAGUGAUCAAGGUAACAUACAUAGUCGCAUUAAAAAUAAGAAACGGAACAAAUCUGAAAUUUUAAUAGAUAAAGAAGCAAAACAAUGGGAAAUAAAAAAAACGAGUGAAAAAUAUAAACAUGAAAGUAGUAAUGUCGAAGACGAAGACGAUGCUAAAUCAGAUAUAGUUAACGAAUUAUUAUUAAAAAAAAUAUAUAUUGAUAAAAAAAAAAAAUUGUUAGAAAAAAAAAAUUCGAAAAAAAAAUUUAUAACUUGAUACAAAAAAAAAAAAAUAAAAUACAAAAUAAUUAUAACUUGAAAAAAAUAAAAAAUCAUAUAUACGAUUAUUACGACCGGUAUAGUGACGAUAGUGUUGAUAUUUAUGAUUAUUCCAAUAUGAGAAAAUACAGACAUAAGAUUGAUCUAUACGACACGAGUAAUGAUGAAUAUAUAAAUUAUCCUAACAUCAAUCACGACUAUAUUAUCUAUAAUCGACUUAAACAAAAUAACGAUCAAUCACGUGUAAGGACCCACUCCAUCAAUAAUCAUACACAUACACGAAAUAACAUAACUCGUUACUUAGAAACUUUAGUCAGUACAAAAAAAAAAAUUAACAAUAAAAAAGGCAUUGAAAAAAGCAAUGGAGAAAAAAAGAAUAAAAAUAAAAAAAAUAAAGACACUCUUUUAUAUGAUUCAACUUAUACUUCAUUAGAGGAAAAUAAUAUAACUGAAAAAACAAAUAUAAAUACGAAACAAGCACAAAAUAAAACAAAUAUUUAUAAUAAAGAAUUACAAAAAAAUAAACAAAGAUAUAGGUCUUACUCUUACAAAAAUAGGUCAAAUAAAAUAAACAUACUAAAAAAAAGUAUAGAGUCCAUCAAACAUAGUGCUAUAAAAACAGAAAAUACAUUGAAUGAAUUUGAACUAAAAGAAAAAAACUGCUUAAAAGAUAAUAAAAUUUAUAAAAAAACAAUAAAUGAAGAACUACAAAAAAUAUAUGACAAUGUAUCUAAUCAAAAUUUUUGUAAAAGUCUAAGAAACGUACAAGUCGGAGAUAAUGCAAAGAACAAUAUUACUACUUUAUUAAAAGAGAAAUGGGGCAAUAAAGUAGACAAAACUUUUUUUAAAAAUGGUACAAUCGACUCUUUAAAUAGUGGCAUUAAUAGAAGUGAAAAUGUGAACAGUAGGGGCAGUAGUGACAGUAGGGGUAGUAACAACAAUGAAAGCCACGACAAUGAAAUUUACGAAAGUAAUAAAAUUGAUGGAGCAAACGACAAGAUGGAUAACCACGUAAACGAUGAACCAAUCAGGAUAAAAGUUAACAUAAAAAAAAAUAACGAACUAAAAAAUAACGAACUAAAAAAUAACGAGCUAAAAAAUAACGAGCUAAAAAAUAACGAACUAAAAAAUAACGAACUAAAAAAUAAGGAGCUAAAAAAUAACGAACUNNNNNNNNNNCUAAAAAAUAACGAACUAAAAAAUAAGGAACUAAAAAAUAAGGAGCUAAAAAAUAACGAACUAAAAAAUAAGGAACUAAAAAAUAAGGAGCUAAAAAAUAACGAACUAAAAAAAAUAGUAAAGAAUACUUAUAUUAAAAGUACAGUUAAUUCUUUGAACAUUGGUUUACCAAAUAAUAAACAGUAUACCACUCUUGGGGAUACUAAUCAGAGUUUUUUGAAUUUAAAUAAAAGUAGUAGUGAUGAAGAGGAUAUAUGCAAAACCAUAUCAAGUAACAGGAAAAAAAAAAACUUAAGUGAUACAGAAAUGGAAAUAAAAAAAAACAAAACUGAAAACUUUUUAUAUCGUGAUACUCCAAAAAGAAAACUGUCAGAAAACAACACCUUUUUAAAAAAACAUGAAGGAUCUGGAGGAGGAGACUACUUAAAAGUAAAAUCAAGUUUUAUGAAAAAUGCGAAAGUAAGUCUGCCAAUGUUGAAAACAACAAAAAAAAGACCCGAUCUAAAAAAAACGAAAGGACAAAUUACUUCAGAACACAAUAAAACAACACAUGAUGAAAAUAAAACAUCUAUAUAUUCCUCUCUUCCCUCACAUAUUAAUGAUAAAAAAAAUACUAGCGAAAUAAUCAGUAUGGAACAAAUAGAUCCCAAUAAAUGGGUUGAACAAAUUUUUGGUGAUAAUUAAUUACACUACUUUUACAUGACCCUUUAAUUUAUCUGUGUUAAUAAGCAUAUUAAGUAUGUGCAUAUCUUUACAUUUUCUUCACCUUAUUUUUUUCACCUUAUUUUUUUCACCU